rnacentral:lncRNA from 1 species
AAACCAAUAAAAUCGAAGUUGAUUAGAUCAAUUUUGGAGCCCAAUGUAAAGGCAUCCCUGAGUAGAUACAAUAAAGUAUCAUGUCAGCCGAACAGCUAUUUUGAUUUUUAGGUUCAGGAUGGGGAUUUGAUCCCCAUACCGAUGCUGUACAGAGAUCUAACUUUGAGAAAUAGCUUGGAGCCAUUAAAUCUAAAAUAAAGUCCAUGA